rnacentral:rRNA from 1 species
UACGUAGGGAGCAAGCGUUGUCCGGAAUCAUUGGGCGUAAAGCGCGCGUAGGUGGCUUCGUAAGUCCGUUGUGAAAGUCAAAGGCUCAACCUUUGAAAGCCGAUGGAUACUGUGGAGCUAGAGUACGGAAGAGGCGAGUGGAAUUCCUGGUGUAGCGGUGAAAUGCGCAGAUAUCAGGAGGAACACCAAUGGCGAAGGCAGCUCGCUGGAACGGUACUGACACUGAGACGCGAAAGCGUGGGGAGCAAACAGG